rnacentral:rRNA from 1 species
UCCAGACUCCUACGGGAGGCAGCAGUGGGGAAUAUUGCACAAUGGGGGGAACCCUGAUGCAGCGACGCCGCGUGGGUGAAGGAGCACCUCGGUGCGUAAAGCCCUAUCGGCAGGGAAGAAAAAGACGGGAACUGACUAAGAAGCCCCGGCUAAAUACGUGCCAGCAGCCGCGGGAAUAAGGAGGGGGCAAGCGUUAUCCGGAUUCACUGGGUGUAAAGGGAGCGUAGACGGCGACGCAAGUCUGGAGUGAAAGCCCGGGGCCCCACCCCGGGACUGCUCUGGAAACUGCGGCGCUGGAGUACGGGAGGGGCAGGCGGAAUUCCUGGUGUAGCGGUGAAAUGCGUAGAUAUCAGGAGGAACACCGGUGGCGAAGGCGGCCUGCUGGACUGCGACUGACGUUGAGGCCC